GUGCCAGCCGCCGCGGUAAUACGGAGGGUGCAAGCGUUAUCCGGAUUCACUGGGUUUAAAGGGUGCGUAGGUGGAUUUAUAAGUCAGUGGUGAAAGCCCCGAGCUCAACUUGGGAAUUGCCAUUGAUACUGUAGAUCUUGAGUGCGGUUGAGGUAGGCGGAAUGUUACAUGUAGCGGUGAAAUGCUUAGAUAUGUAACAGAACACCAAUUGCGAAGGCAGCUUACCAAGCCGAUACUGACACUGAGGCACGAAAGCGUGGGGAUCAAACAGGAUUAGAAACCCCCGUAGUCC
rnacentral:rRNA from 1 species